AUACGGAGGACGCGAGCGUUAUCCGGAUUCAUUGGGUUUAAAGGGUGCGCAGGCGGCCGUGCAAGUCAGCGGUGAAAGCCCGGGGCUCAACCCCGGAAGUGCCGUUGAUACUGCAUGGCUGGAAUGCGGUCGAGGCGGGCGGGACGUGGCGGGUAGCGGUGAAAAGCGUAGAUAUGCCACAGAACGCCGAUAGCGGAGGCAGCCCGCCAGGCCUGCAUGGACGCUCGGGCACGAAAGCGGGGGGAUCGAACAGGAUUAGAUACCCUGGUAGUCCACGCCGUAAACGAUGGGCGCUCGUCGUCGGCGGCAGACAGUCGGCGGCCAAGCGAAAGCGAUAAGCGCCCCACCUGGGGAGUACGGUCGCAAGGCUGAAACUCAAAUGAAUUGGCGGGG
rnacentral:rRNA from 1 species